rnacentral:tRNA from 1 species
GGAAGGGUGGUCGAGAGGCUUAUGGCAGCGGUCUUGAAAACCGCCGGACCGAAAGGUACCGUGGGUUCGAAUCCCACCCCUUCCG